GGGGGGAAGGUUCGUCCGCCCAAGGUAAGCCGGGAGCUAAGGCGAGGCCGAAAGGCGUAGUCGAUGCACAUACGGUGGAAAUUCCGUAGCCGCUGACAUUUAAACCAUAGUGACGCUUUGAGAUAGGGGAACCCGGGCGAUGGUCGCCCCGGGCGUAAGGGACCGAAAUUAAAGUAGGGAAGUCCUCGAUGCUCAGAGACGAGAAAAGCUAUGGCGUAUACUAAAGCGCCCGUACCGCAAACCGACACAGGUAGAUGAGGAGAGAAUCCUAAGACCAACGGGAGAAGGGUUGUCAAGGAACUAGGCAAAUUGGACUCGUAACUUCGGGAGAAGAGUCGCCCUCGAGAGAGGGUCGCAGUGAAAAGGCCCAAGCGACUGUUUACCAAAAACACAGGUCUCUGCUAAAUCGAAAGAUGACGUAUAGGGGCUGACGCCUGCCCGGUGCUGGAAGGUUAAGAGGAGAUGUUAGCGCAAGCGAAGCAUGGAUCUGAAGCCCCAGUAAACGGCGGCCGUAACAAUAACGGUCCUAAGGUAGCGAAAUUCCUUGUCAGGUAAGUUCUGACCCGCACGAAUGGCGUAACGAUUUGGGCACUGUCUCGACAGCCCGCCCGGCGAAAUUGUAGUACUGGUGAAGAUGCCAGUUACCCGCAACUAGACGGAAAGACCCCAUGGAGCUUUACUGUAGCUUGAUACUGGAUUUUGAUAUUUCAUGUACAGGAUAGGUGGGAGGCAGAGAACUCUGUGCGCCAGCACAGAGGGAGCCAACGUUGGGAUACCACCCUUGGGAUAUUGGAAUUCUAACCUGCGGCCGUGAAUCCGGUCGGGGGACACUGUCAGGUGGGCAGUUUGACUGGGGCGGUCGCCUCCAAAAAGGUAACGGAGGCGCUCAAAGGUUCGUUCAGCGCGGACGGAAAUCGCGCAGUGAGUGUAAACGCAAAAACGAGCCUGACUGCGAGACAGACAUGUCGAGCAGGAACGAAAGUUGGAGUUAGUGAUCCGGUGGUAUGUGAGUGGAAAUGCCAUCGCUUAACGGAUAAAAGCUACCCUGGGGAUAACAGGCUGAUCUCCCCCAAGAGUCCAUAUCGACGGGGAGGUUUGGCACCUCGAUGUCGGCUCAUCACAUCCUGGGGCUGAAUUCGGUCCCAAGGGUUCGGCUGUUCGCCGAUUAAAGUGGUACGCGAGCUGGGUUCAGAACGUCGUGAGACAGUUCGGUCCCUAUCUGUUGCGGGCGUAGGAGAUUUGAGGAGAGCUGUCCUUAGUACGAGAGGACCGGGAUGGACGUACCUCUGGUGCACCAGUUGUUCCGCCAGGAGCACAGCUGGGUAGCUAUGUACGGAAUUGAUAAACGCUGAAGGCAUCUAAGCGUGAAACAAACUCUAAGAUUAGAUCUCCCAUCCGAAAGGAGUAAGGCCCCACGAAGACUACGUGGUUGAUAGGUCAGAGAUGUAAGCACAGCAAUGUGUUCAGUCGACUGAUACUAAUAGGCCGAGGGCUUGACC
rnacentral:rRNA from 1 species